AAUCACCUGUCAUCAUAAUUUAGUAUUUUGCAAUGAGACAAACAUAUGAUUCUGAUUUUGAGUAAAUGCAUAUGUUCACAAGACAAGAUAAACCCCACAAUCGUUUUAAGAAAAAAAUAACAUAAAAGCGUUUUCGUCACAUACUCUCUAUUUACAUUUUAGGAUUGGUUCGUGCUGUUGUUGUUAUACUAAGGGAGAUCACUAGCGCAUGCUGGAAUUUCAUCUCAACUAAAUAAAAAUAAGAAUAACGAUAGAAGCACUAUUUGUCAUGUUCAAUUAUUGCAAGAAGAGUUAAUCUAACACGAAAAUAAGCCUUUCAAUAUUUAAAUUUCUUGAAAUGCAAGAAUUUCGCAGAAAUUUUCAAAAUCACUACUUUGAAAAAAUCAAGCAAGGCGCAUUUAUUGAAGGUGGUCGCAUUAGACCAACAACAAUGUUUUAUUCGCUUUGAAAUCAAGUUAGCAAAUUGGCAUUAUUUACUUCCGCUCGUUUCUCAAACAAAUCAUGGUGGCUAGAACCUGCUCAAAAAAUCAUCUGUUUGGUGUUAUUAAUUCAUGAUGCACUGCUGGAUACCAAGGAUAUCAGUGUUAUUUUCCUACACUAAUGGACAACAGUUUCACAAACAAGUAUAUUUUCUCCUCAUUUUGUUUGUUUUGUAUUGCGAAGGAAGCUGACGUCAGACUUGUCAAAAUCAGAAAAAAUUAAGUAACUAUUUUUUAAUGGCGCCACCUAAGGUACUCAAUGCGCCUCUUGUUUGUUUAUUAUGUACUCUUACGACACACCGAAUUCGGUAGGCGCAAACUAUUUCUUUAUCAUUCUUGCUGUUUGGCAACUCAAGUAGCCAGUAGGAAAUUUUAACCGAGGGAGCAAAGCGAAUCUACAACAUUUUGUAUAUUAGAAUGUCGCAACUAAAGUAAUAAUACG